GGAUGCGAUCAUACCAGCACUAAAGCACCGGAUCCCAUCAGAACUCUGAAGUUAAGCGUGCUUGGGCAAGAGUAGUACUAGGAUGGGUGACCUCCUGGGAAGUCCUCGUGUUGCAUUAC
rnacentral:rRNA from 1 species